CCCUUAGAUGUUCUGGGCCGCACGCGCGCUACACUGACGGAGCCAACGAGUAUUUUCCUUGUCCGGAAGGACUGGGUAAUCUUGUGAAACUUUGUCGUGCUGGGGAUAGAGCAUUGUAAUUAUUGCUCUUCAACGAGGAAUUCCUAGUAAGCGUGAGUCAUCAGCUCGCGUUGAUUACGUCCCUGCCCUUUGUACACACCGCCCGUCGCUCCUACCGAUUGGGUGUGCUGGUGAAAUGUUCGGAUCGGCCGUUUGUCGCGGUUUCCGCGUCAUGUGGCUGAGAAGUUCAUUAAACCCUCCCACCUAGAGGAAGGAGAAGUCGUAACA
rnacentral:rRNA from 1 species